CUCCUGCUCACAUUCCUCUUUUAUUCCAAGCCUGUGAUCUCAGAUUCCCGGUAGCAUUUAUCAAAUCCAUGAAAAUGUCCCCCUCCUGUCCCCUGAGGGGGAACCUUCACUAGGGGGAAAUUGGGGAGCUAGAACGUUUUCUUGCCGGCUAAUCAGUCGCCCGAGGCUAACGCUAGCUGCCCUGGGCACCCGGAUCCUGCCAUCCUGCCAUGAUAGACCUGGCUCACAGCCAAGUCAGUGCUCCACAUGCAACUGGCAAAUUGCACUCCCGUGCGGCCUUUCCCUGGGCCCUGUUUCCCCAGGACUCCUGGGGGCUUAGGAAGACCUCGCUCUGUACUCUUGAAAGAGACCCGGACCUUAUUCUGCUUUAUUUUAUUUUCAAAUACCCAGUUUGGAAAGGGGAUAGGCUGUCUCUGACCUUUUAGCCCCUCCCCGCUGCCCAUCUCUGCCUUCCCCACGGCGGGCGGAGACAGGGACAUCUGCGGGAGUGCUGGACAUUCUGCCUGACUGUCAGACUCCCCGUUCCAGUUUUGGCCAGUGGGUUUGUGCUGCAACGGACAUUGGGAAAAUCCAAUGUCUCAUCACAGGGAUGGGUUUUUGGGCGUGAUCGCUUCCUCCUGGGCUGACACUUCAUCGCGAGAACCGCUCUCAAGACCCUAUUCAGAAGCACAGAGGGUUUUGAGUUGGGACUGGAGGAGGUCCUUCUAUCCAUCCCUGUGCUGCCCUGUGACCUCACAGUCCCCCGAGCUGCUUCCCUAAGCUGUGUGGCUGGCCAGCUCCCCGCUGCCAGCCCACCGCGGAUCCUCUUUUUUUGCAGGCACUCCUGAGCUCACGUGUGGCUUUUGAACAACCCCUCGCAUUCAUCUCCUUCCAGAAUCCCAGCCUGACGGGGCUCAGAUGAAGAGUUCCAGAGAACAGAUGGGAGGCUGUCAUUACGCGUUACUGAUACACAGAGCGGCUCCAGCCUCACGCACGCCAGCGCGCUCAGCCACACUCGUAAUUCUUCCUCUGUUCCCCAGCCCGAGCCAGGAGCUCAGCCAGUUUUGGCAAGGAGUGAAAGUGUGCGCUUUCUAGGGGCAUUUAUAUAAAACAUGCUAGGAUUGACAAUGAACUAGGGAACCAAACCCUUCUUCUUUUAUUAGGGAAGAAAACACUGCGAUUCUCCAAUUCCCUUGUGAAAACUAAAAAUCAGGAGUCAAAAAAAAAAAAAUAUUUGCUAGCUGACUUGGGUGCCAUUGCAGUUGGCUAAUGCAGGAACCCUCUGGAGAUGUGUUUCUUUGUCUAGUUGCAGAGCUCACGGGUGGUCAUAGACUAUUCUUGGUGAUGAGUGUUCCAGCAGCUUCUACAAGGUCAUGGCACUGUAAAGAUCAAAGUGGGCCAAUGGGAUAUUAUAUUCCAACUUCUUCUAGGAGCACAAAGAGGAGCAGAAACAUUGGCCAGAGCAAAGAAAUGACUAGUCAGUGACUAGUUAGUAGAAAAACUGGGAAUCGAGCUCAAUUCUAGUUUAAUACUUUCAUAGGAAAUUGCAGCAACACCCACUAGUUUAGUGAGAGAGCUUUUUUUCUAGAGAUAAAGGUUGGAGGGUAGCUUCUUUGCCCAAUUUUGCAUGAGAACGCAGAAAUUUCAUUUAUGCCCAGGGUGGUUUAAUAAUCUCACAGGAGGAAUGGACAUCAGUUAUACCCUGGUCAAUCUAAUGCUUUCAGUAAAAAAAAAAAAAAAAAAUCACUUUGCCCCUCUUUGAAUGGUCUGCAGAGAGAUUAAAAACCAGUUUUCCUUGAGCUUCAUUCCUGCAUGAAACUUGAAACCUGGAUAGAAAUCGUAAAGUUGGAAAAUCUCACUUGAAAGCUGGCCCAAGAUCUAUGUUUUUUUUUUGUUUUUUUUUUUUCUGUUUCCCAUCCUGUGAGAGGUGGAGAUGUGUGUGCACCUUCGAUGCAGACUUUCCUUCUGUUCUAGGAAAUCUACCAUGUGGCUAUGGAAAUUUGCAGCCCGAGCACUAAUCUGCUAUGGAGAUGAUGGAGAAGCCUUUGCUCUAAGCAGCUAAACUGGGGCCUAGUCGAGAGCUGUCAGUGCGAUGCCUGUGUUCCUGUUUGAAGUGAUGCUCGCAGGAGGCGGAGAGCCCAGGCCGAGGAAACAACAGGAAGGAGCUGCAGGCAGAGUCUUCACCCCACGCUGGAGAAAGGACCUUCAAAAGGAAAUGACUGGGCAUUGGAAAAGCUCAGCGUGGACUGCCCUGUGCUUGGCCCACUGUAGCGUGACAGGGCAUGGAACAAGCUAAACUUCAAGAAAUACUGAGAAUGAAGGGUGGCAGGGAAAAGAUAAAAGCCUGCUGCAGAUUUUCAGGCCUUAGAAACAAGAGCUUCCUACACAGGAUUACUUCUGAAGUCAAGGACUGGAUUCUUCUAGAAGCCCCCAUUCAGCCCCUGGCAUAGGCGGAUGGCUGGGCUAGACUUUGUCUCUUGGGCUCCUUGACGACAAUGGGCUCUGUCCUCGCUGGGUGCUGACCAGCCUCUGGGAACGACGAAGUUACUGCCCCCUGGCCCUCAGUUGGGGUCAGGAGUCACUUAGUCCUCCUUCUGACCUUGUCUUUCAAAGGCUGAUCCUUAUUAACCAUCAGCAUGGGGUGGGGAGUAGCUGAGACAAUCUUCAGCAGUGGCAGGGUGACCCCCGAGUUGUGUCAGCUCCGAGACAAUGUAACCCCCAGGCUCCAGGGCCGUGAGUGUAGUGAUUUAACAAAUCAUAUGUUUAAACAACGGAUGGCACACUGCUGUUUGAGGGGUCUUGGAAGCACAUUUCUAAAUAAUGGGGGAAAUAAUGAGCGCCUCUCACAAGGGCAUUUAAAUGACACACGCAUUAGGAGGUUGGGGGAGGCUCUUGUAUUCCUGCAUAAUAAACA